UACGUAGGGUGCGAGCGUUGUCCGGAAUUAUUGGGCGUAAAGAGCUCGUAGGCGGUCUGUCGCGUCGAUCGUGAAAACUUGGGGCUUAACCCUGAGCUUGCGGUCGAUACGGGCAUGACUGGAGUUCGGCAGGGGAGGACGUGGAAUUCCGUGUGGUAGCGGUGAAAUGCGCAGAUAUCAGGAGGAACACCGGUGGCGAAGGCGGGUCUCUGGGCCGAUACUGACGCUGAGGAGCGAAAGCGUGGGGAGCGAACAGG
rnacentral:rRNA from 1 species